rnacentral:hammerhead_ribozyme from 1 species
GUAGCGCUGAAGAGUCCUGGAAAAACAGGACGAAACAGCUGUCCAGUAC